rnacentral:rRNA from 1 species
GAUGAACGCUAGCGGCAGGCCUAAUACAUGCAAGUCGAACAGGCAGUAGCAAUACUGCUAGUGGCGCACGGGUGCGUAACACGUAACUAACCUACCUAUAACUGGGGGAUAGCCCGCAGAAAGGCGGCUUAAUACCGCAUAAGCUGUUUGAGUGGCAUCGCUCGAUUGGUAAUGAGUUAUUGGUUAUAGAUGGGGUUGCGGGUCAUUACAUAGUUGGGAAGGUAACGGCUUACCAAGGCUACGAUGACUAGGGGAGCUGAGAGGCUGGUCCCCCACACGGGCACUUAGAUACGGGCCCGACUCCUACGGGAGGCAGCAGUAGGGAAUAUUGGGCAAUGGGCGAGAGCCUGAUCCAGCCAUGCCGCGUGCAGGAAGAAGGCUUUCUGAGUCGUAAACUGCUUUUGACAGGGAAGAAUAAGGAGUACGUGUACUCUGAUGACGGUACCUGCAGAAUAAGCACCGGCUAACUCCGUGCCAGCAGCCGCCGCAGUAA